rnacentral:RNase_P_RNA from 1 species
GAAGCUCGCUAGGCCGUCGCUGGUGCAAUCUGGGAAACCAGGCACUGGAGGAACGUCCGGACUGCGUAGGACAGCGUAAGAGGUAACACCUCUCCACCGUGAGGUGAGGAUUAGAGCAACAGAGACGAGCCGAUUUAGUUCGGGUGAAACGGGCAAUCUCUACGCGCAGCAAUACCAAGUAGGCCAGCGUUGAUGUGGUUCCGCAGAGUUGGCGGGUAGGUAGCACCGAGCCGAGUGGGUAACCCUCGGCCCAGAUUAAUGACGGUCACGCCGUGGGCAACCACGGUGCACAGAAUCCGGCGUAUCGGCGAGCUUCACAC